rnacentral:misc_RNA from 1 species
GAAAUGCGAUAAGUAAUGUGAAUUGCAGAAUUCAGUGAAUCAUCGAAUCUUUGAACGCACCUUGCGCCCUUUGGCCAUUCCGAAGGGCAUGCCUGUUUGAGUAUCAUGAACACCUCAACUCUCAUGGCUUGCCAUGAUGAGCUUGGACUUUGGGGGUCUUGCUGGCCUGUGGUCGGCUCCUCUCAAAUGAAUCAGCUUGCCAGUGUUUGGUGGCAUCACAAGUGUGAUAACUAUCUGCGCUUGUGGUUUCCAUCAGAUAACCUCCAGUGAUGGAGGUUCGCUGGAGCUCAUAAAUGUCUCUCCUAAGUGAGGACAGCUCUUUCAAUGUUUGAUCUCAAAUCAGGUAGGACUACCCGCUGAACUUAA